UAAUUCUUACCUAUCGUCUCCAACACACUUUCCGAUCACGGUUACCACUUUGCCAGGCUGGAGGCCAUUAGGGAUGGCUAGUACAUUUUCGCCAAGGUCCUGCAAAGUUUAAACAUAUUAUUGACCACAUCAUAAGUACAUUGUACCGUUAUUCGGUGAAGAAGAAGUGAAGGUAUGCUUACGAUGGCUCUAGAAGAACUCUGGCUCAAAGAAGUCAGCAUCUCCUGUCAGCUUCAGGUGACACACACUGUCCAAUGGGAGACGGUGGGCGUACUCCACGUAUCUCUGACCAUUGACGUAGGU